GACGAACCGUGCAAACGUUGUUCGGAUUCACUGGGCUUAAAGGGCGCGUAGGCGGGCGGUCAAGUCGGGGGUGAAAUCUUUCAGCUUAACUGGAAAAGUGCCUCCGAUACUGAUCGUCUUGAGGGAGGUAGGGGCAUGUGGAACUUCCGGUGGAGCGGUGAAAUGCGUAGAGAUGGGGAGGAACACCGGUGGCGAAGGCGGCCACCUGGACGGUAACUGACGCUGAGACGCGAAAGCGUGGGUAGCAAACAGG
rnacentral:rRNA from 1 species